AACGAACGCUGGCGGCAGGCUUAACACAUGCAAGUCGAACGCACCGCAAGGUGAGUGGCAGACGGGUGAGUAACACGUGGGGAUCUGCCCAAUGGUACGGAAUAGCUCCGGGAAACUGGAAUUAAUACCGUAUGAGCCCGCAAGGGGAAAGAUUUAUCGCCAUUGGAUGAACCCGCGUCGGAUUAGCUAGUUGGUGUGGUAAAGGCGCACCAAGGCGACGAUCCGUAGCUGGUCUGAGAGGAUGAUCAGCCACACUGGGACUGAGACACGGCCCAGACUCCUACGGGAGGCAGCAGUGGGGAAUAUUGGACAAUGGGCGCAAGCCUGAUCCAGCCAUGCCGCGUGAGUGAUGAAGGCCUUAGGGUUGUAAAGCUCUUUCGCCGACGAAGAUAAUGACGGUAGUCGGAGAGGAAGCCCCGGCUAACUUCGUGCCAGCAGCCGCAGUAAAAC
rnacentral:rRNA from 1 species